UAAGAGGAACCACUUAAAAAUAAAAAAAUUAUGGUGGUGUCACAAAAUCGGAGGCCACGACUGUUUACUAAAAACACAAUUCAGAGCAAUGAUGAAAAUCAUAGUAUUCUGGAUGAAAUUUGCCCGAUGCCAUUAACAUAAAAGAGGUAAUGGGAAACUGUUACUAAUUGAAAGUCUGGUUAAUAGCGGUCUUAACUAUGAGGAUCCUAAGGUAGCAAAAUAAAUUGGCCAUUAAAUGUGGUCUGGUAUCAAUAGUGUAACGAUGGUCUCACUGUCUCUACAACUUGCUCAGUGAAAUUGAAUUAUCCGUGCAGAUGCGGAUUGCCUCCAGGUGGACGGG
rnacentral:rRNA from 1 species